rnacentral:lncRNA from 1 species
CUCUGAAUUUUUUUUGAUUACUUCGAAUCCAACGAAAUCUUUCUUCUUCAAUUGCCAUGUAAUAGUCAACUAUAUAUUAUUGUAGAAGCCUCCCUGCUUGAAGAAGAGUUUGACCCUCAUUUAAUCUUUGUUGGAGUCUAAAGCAACAAUGUUCUCUCAUGCUCAAUUUCUGCCUUUUGGAAGGGCUGAUAGAAAUUUUUCUCAAGAGUAUGCCAAGUCUCCUCACCAUAAGGAUGUAUUAAUGGGUAUGUCAUAGACAUAAAAUUUGGAUGAAGAUCAGUGAUUCUUUUGAGG